AGUGAACGCUGGCGGUAGGCCUAACACAUGCAAGUCGAACGGCAGCACAGAGGAGCUUGCUCCUUGGGUGGCGAGUGGCGGACGGGUGAGGAAUACAUCGGAAUCUACUCUGUCGUGGGGGAUAACGUAGGGAAACUUACGCUAAUACCGCAUACGACCUACGGGUGAAAGCAGGGGAUCUUCGGACCUUGCGCGAUUGAAUGAGCCGAUGUCGGAUUAGCUAGUUGGCGGGGUAAAGGCCCACCAAGGCGACGAUCCGUAGCUGGUCUGAGAGGAUGAUCAGCCACACUGGAACUGAGAAACGGUCAAGACUCCUAGGGGAGGCAGCAGUGGGGAAUAUUGGACAAUGGGCGAAAGCCUGAUCCAGCCAUACCGCGUGGGUGAAGAAGGCCUUCGGGUUGUAAAGCCCUUUUGUUGGGAAAGAAAUCCAUCUGGUUAAUACCCGGGUGGGAUGACGGUACCCAAAGAAUAAGCACCGGCUAACCUCGUGCCAGCCGCCGCAGUAA
rnacentral:rRNA from 1 species